UAAGCUUAUUAAACGGCAAAUAUUCCCCCAAAGGCUUCUGGUGUAAUUUUCGCGAUACUUAAUUUUAGCGUCACUUUAUUUUCGCGAAUCUUUUAAAAUCGCGAAAUUAAAGUGACGCGAAAAUAAAGUGUUAUAAGGUAGCUCAUGUAUUUGAUACCCAUGAGGCAUUGCGGACUACAACACAUGGAUUCUCCUAGUUCAGACCAGCUCAGAAUAUUUCCUUUUCUGGAAACACAAAUAUGGCGGCCUAAAUGGAUAAUGACGUCAUCAUUCAAGCCCCUCGCCCAUUACCGCCGGGAAGAUAUAUUUUUCGCUUUAAAAGCUUUUCCUCGUCGAUUUUUGCAAUUUUAGAGCAGCCAGUGUGUUAGGAUAUCUUCCCAAGAUAUCUCGUGCAAGGCUUCGAAGCGAUGGAGUAAAAAUGUGGAAGAUGAUAUUGACCAUGGCAAAGAAGAUAAAGAUAAGUAUAUAAGGAUGGACAGAGAGAUCAUUGAAUUUUCUCCUUCCUAUUCCACUCUUUGUGAUAAAAAACUUACUACUAUUCUUUUUUUUGAAUAUUUGUUUUAUUUGUUCAAACUAUGUGUUAUUGACUAUUACACUUUUUGAAAGUAUGGUUACAAACUGACCCCCCAGUUCCCCCAGACCCCCCAUGCUCUAGGGACAUUGUCAAAUAUUUAGAUUUAUGAGUUAUACAAAAGAUGGGCUGGUUGGUACAAGCCAAUCAAAAAAAAAUUCAAA